AUUGAACGCUGGCGGCAUGCUUUACAUAUGCAAGUCGAACGGUAACAGGCCUUCGGGUGCUGACGAGUGGCGAACGGGUGAGUAAUGCAUCGGAACGUGCCCAAUCGUGGGGGAUAACGUAGCGAAAGUUACGCUAAUACCGCAUAAGCCCUGAGGGGGAAAGUGGGGGACCGCAAGGCCUCACGCGAAUGGAGCGGCCGAUGUCAGAUUAGCUAGUUGGUGGGGUAAAGGCUCACCAAGGCGACGAUCUGUAGCGGGUCUGAGAGGAUGAUCCGCCACACUGGGACUGAGACACGGCCCAGACUCCUACGGGAGGCAGCAGUGGGGAAUUUUGGACAAUGGGCGCAAGCCUGAUCCAGCCAUGCCGCGUGCGGGACGAAGGCCUCGGUUGUAACCGCUUUCUAGCCGGAACGAAAUACGCUGUUUUUAAUACUAGACAGUGGAUGACGGUACCGGAAGAAGAAGCACCGGCUAACUACGU
rnacentral:rRNA from 1 species